rnacentral:sRNA from 13 species
UCAGUUUUAAUUAAUGCAAAAUGCGAAUUUUCAAAAGACGUCGUUGAGCCAAGCGCUGGCUCAAAUUGCCGACAACAUGGAAAACAGAACACAGAGGCGAUGAGCUCCAAAGGACCCCAAAAAGGAUCCGCAUCCCCUCGAACGCAACGUUUUGUUGUCGCAUAAUUACAACUCAAUUGUAAUCCAAUUUUGGCCAGGCAUAUAAAUCCGAUUCAGGCACAAAGUCACGCCCCCGGCCUGGUGUCUGUGUCAACUUUUUCGGUGUCAAAUAAAUAAACUUUUGACAGUCGGCAGACAGGCCAGCGGGGUUUUUCCGAGCUCCAACUCCGCCCGAAAAAGCCCAUCCGCACACCUUUCGCUUUUCGCUGUGGCCACCACCGGAAAUGGAAAUUUGUUAACAAUGGCGAGGGGGUUGGGGUUGGUGGCAUGUACAUUAGUAACUGGGAUACCAAAAUCAAUGCCCCAACAGAUGGAUUAGAUACAGACAUCUGACCACGAGCUCAUCCGUUCAACCCCGUCGAAGGCAGAACUCUUGAUAACUGCAAAUUAGUUGCACAUGUUCCACAUGGGCCACAACUCAAAACAAGACGUGUUUGCACUAAUUUGGCCAAAAUCAACAGCUGUGCGUACAUGUGCUGCCAUCUUCUGCUCGCUGUAUACCCAACAGAAGCGGUCCCAAAAAAAUAAAAUAAAAUAAAAGAACGGGGGAACUAGCGAGAUUCUGGGGCGAAAAACGAGAAGGAAAACAGAAAAAUUGCCUAGAAAACUUGUUAUAAUUACACACUGGCACACACACUCUCACGCGUGCUGGAUCGCCGUAUGUGUAUUGACUGCAGGGCAAGGAAUUUGGAAAGGGCGGACGCGGAGAGGGGGGGAGAGUACGAGGGCAUGCAUGAAGAGGCAACAUAUGUUGGACUUUGGAGCAAACUUUUGCGAAUUUUCGGGGCGCCCUUCCACUUUGCCCCUUGUGGCAGCUCCAUAUAUUGGCACCUCCUCAUAUCCUCAUCGCAGGAUUUCGCCGAGUGGAACUUGUGUGUUUUGUGGUUGAGUAGACGCACAGUUUAGGCCCAGAAUGCAACAGCUGCGAGAAUCCCCAUUCCGGAGGACGAAAAUGUCCCGGCCAACUCAUGGUUCGAGUUUUGCCUGUUGCCGAGAGAACCCCAUGACAACUUCCUCACUAAUCUGCCCGAUGACUCACGAUAAGAUAGAUAAUUGCAUGGGGUAAGUCCUCUUAGGGUUGCUAAUUUUGUGGCUUUGGGGAGCUAACUUUGGUACAAAAAAAAAACAAAUCGUAUUUAUAUUACUUUAUUUCAACGAAAAUAUGUUGCAUAUUCAUUCACGAACUGGCAUCAACAAACUGCAAUAAAAAGCAAGGGUUUCCCAGUGUCUGAAAGGAUCCCCGUUAACAAUCGACUACCUGAUUCCAAUACCAUUGUUUACCCCUCUCAGAGUGCCACAAAAGCCCCAUAAUAUCUUUAAAAAAUAAUAAUGACAACAGUUUCAAUGGAAGUCUGGAAACAAUCAGAGCAACCGCCACAUGAUGCCAACUUUUCAGGGACUCUUCGCAGAAAUAAAAACUCGCAUCGAAAGCCGAGGGAAUUGUUAACGAAGGCUUAAAGAGAAUGGGGUAAAUCCUACGAAAAAAAAAAAUAAAGGCACAAACUUUUGGGCCAACUUUUUUUGGUCAAACAAAAAAAGAAAAGAACAGUAACGAAAAAAAAUCUAUGUGGACAGCGCCAAACUGUCGGAAAAUGCCUAAAAAUGGUCCGGGCCAAUGGGAAAAAAUAAAUAUGCCAAUGAAAUGGGCUGUUUUGCCAGCCCUGGAAAAUGUGCUCACUGGAUGGGGGUGUGCAAAACUGAUGGCCCGUCUGGGCCAAAAGCAAAACCAGAGCCAAAGAGAAAGCCAUGUGCUCGCAAAUGCGGGACACGUACUUGCGCUAUAAUUAUUUCGUACGUGAGCACGUGAGCCCGCCGAAAGACAAUGAGUCGCCGUAGCCGGAGAAAUGGAAAACGCAGCCUGGAGUUCGAAGACCUGAGUCCGGAGAGCGUCUGCUGCGUCUGCGGCCGGAAGAAGACGAGUCGGACGCGCUAAGGUUAGCAUAUAGCACAUCAGAGAGAUUAAAGUGUGGACUUCCUUCGCAUAAAAUAAUAAUGCUGUGCAUCAUAAGAACCCGACAAAGGCAACACGUGGCUACAGUUUUGGUCCCCCAAUCGCUAAUUUUCACACAGCCCCACAGCGUGACAUAAGGUAUCAAAAAAUGUUUUGGACUAACUCCCCCUCCAAAUAAUAUCCGCCUCAGGACAUCGGAGCAAAGAUCUUUAGCUUUCCAGCUGCCUUUAAGUAUUGCCUACGUGAUGGUUUUUCUUCCAGGAAAAAUUUAUUGUCAUUACCUUGAAAGUUGGCCGGAAAGUCUUGGCGUCAUAUUGGCAGAUUUAUCAUCGUUUAUAUUAAUGGCUCUUUAUUACAAGCUUUCAUAUCGAUACGGAAUCCAACUUAAGCAGAAUAUACAACUUCCUGCUUUGGAUAGACCUCAUCCAGAGUCAGCACUUUGGAAGCAUAUAUCUAAUUAAAGGACUGUCCCCUUGGUUCCCAACUGGUCCACAUCUCAUCCACGUCGUCAUUAGCAUCGUCAUGAUCGGAAUAAAUGAAAGCACCCAACCACUACGACCGCA